AUUCAGUGAAUCAGUGAGCCCCCAACAGCGGGCGGAGUGGAAUCUUCGUCAUUAACGUGAGAUCGUCAUUUGUUUAUUUGUAGGUACUGUUGGUUAAAUAGUUAAUCCGAUUUUUUGAACUUAUUGAUCUGAGUGGUUAGUUGCAAAUCCAGAAUGGGGCUAUAUCAUGUGUGAUGGUGGCAGCUUGCGAGCGCGGCGAGAGGGCCGCACGAUGCUAACCGCGCGGGCGGCGCUCCUGACGGGGCUGCUGGCUGCUGUCAGUGGCUGCUACCUGUUCCCCAGUGACGUGCCGAACCCUUGCGUCGGGGUUACGUGUGGCCCCGGCGCGCAGUGCCGGCCCACGCCCGAUGGCCGCUCGUACAACUGCGAAUGCCCCACAUCUUGUCCCAGCUACGGGGACCACGAGGGCAGCCGCGCGUUGUGCGCAAGCGACGCCAGGGACUAUCCUGGGGAGUGUGAAAUGCGCCGUGCUGCCUGCGAAGCUAAUACUAAUAUUACGUUCAAGUAUUACGGCAAGUGUGACCCGUGUGCCGGCGUGACAUGCCCUGACCCAGAAGUCUGCCAGCUGGACGACCGUCGCUCCCCAUCGUGUCGCUGCGCUGAACCUUGCCCUCUGGAGUUCUCUCCUGUAUGCGCUUCUGACGGAAAGACCUACUCCAACGAAUGUCAGAUGCACCGCGAAUCAUGCCGCGCUAGGAAACAAUUGAAGAUCAUAUUCAAGGGUCAAUGCAGCACGGGGGUUAACCCGUGCGCGGAAGUGGAGUGUCGUCACGGCGCGGAAUGCCGCGUUGAGGGGGGCGGUGCUGUGUGCGCGUGUCCGCCGCCGUGCGAGCCCGUGCUGCGGCCGGUGUGCGGGUCUGACUCGCGCACGCACGACAGCGAGUGUGAGCUGCAGCGGGCGGCUUGUCUGCUCGGCAGGGAGCUGAGAGUGUUGCAUGCUGGCGCUUGUGGUUCAAACGGCGUCUGCGCCGGGCGCGUUUGUCCGCACGGGGGGGAGUGCGUAGCGACCGGGGGUCGGGGGGUGUGUCGCUGUCCGCGGUGCUCCAACGAGUUUGCCCCCGUCUGCGGGUCCGACGGCAUCUCCUACGGGAACCGCUGCAAGCUGCAGCUCGAGGCCUGUCGACACCGCCGCGACGUGAAGGUCCUGUACGACGGACCUUGCAACGGGUGUGAAAAUAAGAAGUGCGAGUUCUACGCUGUCUGUGAAAGCGACGGCGUUUCUGAAGCUAGUUGUGUCUGCCCCAAGCAUUGUGAAGAAGGAACUGAAACUGAGGAAGUGUGCGGCAACGACAACAAUACAUACAGUAGCAUUUGUGCGCUGAGGGACGUCGCUUGUAGAGAGAAACGCCAUCUUCAUAUCAAGCACAUGGGUUCCUGUGAGUCGUGCCUAGGCGUGCAAUGCCCGGCAGGCACGUGGUGUGCGCGCGGCGCAUGCGCGUGCGCGACGCCGUGCGCAGACGCAGCGCACGAGCCCGUGUGCUCCGACACGAGGCGCACGUUCCAGCACGAGUGCGCGCUGCAGAAAGCCGCAUGCGAGUCUCGCAUGCGAGGCGAGCCGCCCAUGCGUGUCGCGUAUUACGGCGAGUGUACUGACUCGCAAGAGGAUAAUACUACUGCAGGUGUUAAUAAAACUGCAAAAUCGGAUCUGAGUAACGACAUACGCUCGUCAGACGAAACCGCUGAGAGUUCGAGCGAGCCUGGAGCGAGCAAAGCAGUGUGCGCUCGCGUGCAAUGUGCUUAUGAAGCUACUUGCGCAGUUGACGGCAAUGGACAGCCUAGAUGUGCCUGUUUAUUCGACUGCGCUGCGGCGGCCGCGGCGCCAGUGUGUGCGUCUGACUUGAGACUAUACCCCACUCUCUGCCACAUGAAGCUGGAAGCUUGCAGGAGGCAGGAGGACUUGAGGCUCAGACCGCUGGCUCUGUGCCGUGGAUUAGAGUUCAGACCGUGCGGUGAUGAUGAACCGCUGACGGACGCGGAAGGCCGCCUCAUGGAUUGUGGUGGCGGGCCUCAUCGCAAAGAUUGUCCCGUCGGAAGCUAUUGUCAUCACACAGCUAAAGCUGCUCGGUGUUGUAAAAAAGACAAAGGACUUGUAGAAACAAAAGGCUGCCAAGAAUCAUGGCACGGCUGCUGCGCGGACGGGGUGACCGCCGCGCGGGGCCCGGGCGGGGCCGGCUGCCCGUCCGAGUGCGGCUGUCACCGGCUCGGCGCCGUGACGUCACACUGCGACGACGCCGGCCAGUGCGGCUGCCGGCCCGGCGUCGGCGGCGCCAAGUGCGACCGCUGCGAGCCCGGCUACUGGGGACUGCCGAGGAUCGGCUCCGGCCACACCGGCUGCAUACCCUGCGGUUGCUCGGCGUUCGGUUCGGUGCGAGAAGACUGCGAACAAAUGACGGGCAGAUGCGUAUGCAAGCCAGGCAUACAGGGUCAAAAGUGCACCGUGUGCUCCAAUCAUGAACACACCCUCGGACCUAACGGCUGUUUUGACCCGGAAUCAACUCAACUCCCAGCAACCAAUUGCGAUCACAUGACGUGUUACUUCGGGGCCUAUUGUUUAGUCCGCAGCGGGCUGGCCACUUGCGAGUGCCCGGCGACCGAGUGCGCUACCACGGAAGACACUCCCGUGUGUGGCAGCGACUCCCGCACCUACCUCUCCACUUGUCAUCUCCGAGCCCACGCCUGUCGGACACAAUCCGACAUCGUAGCUCAAGCUUUUGGCCCAUGCGCCAACGAAACGCCCCACGUCAGGCGAGGUAGCCGAUCAACCGACCGAAAACAGCACAAGCAAAACACAGAAAAGCUAGAAACAAAUCACGUAAAGUUUGCCACCAACUCCAUUCAGUACUACACUGACGCUUCAGUAGACACUAGUGAUAGCGGCAAACCCGACAGCCCGGACCCUGAACUGUCUUGUAUUGAUAUUCUACCACCUGUUGGUUACCGCUAAAUUUAGCUAGUCCUGUAGACCUCAGAAUCAUAUAUGAUAUUACUAAAUAAGUAGUAGGACAUAUUGAUAGAAAUGUAUAAUUACGUAAAUUCUCGAACAAUACUUUAAUAUUAUCCUUAACUUAAUCAAUUCACAGAAAAAAACUACGCAGAUGUUAAUAAUAAAGCCAAUUGCGUUAUGAGAUCGGCGAAAGACAAAUACCAUGACCAUGACCAUAUGGAGGAGAGAACGAUCGAAUCGAAUGAAGUUGAUGAGAAUUAUUCUCAAUACGAGGAAUAUGAAGAAGUGAAUGAGAUUUACAAAGUGCCCUUGUUUGAUGGAACAUCAAGUAUGACGGCGCGAGUCAGGAUGCCGGCAAAACGUUUUGAUAUUUGGGCCGAAGUAUCCACAGUUUGCGGCGAAGGAACAAUACUGAGCGCUUCAGGCUCAAGGGACCAUUUGUGGCUGGGUUUGGUUCAUGAUAAAGCUGUGCUGCAUUGGAAUAUGGGAAGUGGACCCUCGGAAUUGCGUUCAGGGCUAGUGAGGACUGAUGGGCGAUCGAAGAUUUCUGCCAGGAGGUAUAAGAAGGAUGCAAUAUUGAAAAUUGAAUCGUACUCUGUAAGAGGAUCGGCGCAUGGACAUAUGACAUCACUAGACGUUGAUCCAUUUAUUUACGUUGGGAAACCACCGGGAAAUGUUACCAAGUUGCUAAGUUCGCCUCUAUCUGGCUUCGUGGGUUGCGUGCACCGUCUUCGAGUGAGCGGUCGUGACGUCAUCCCGCCGUCUAGGGGGCUCCAAGUAGAAGCCCAGGGUGUCCGGGCCUGCACCCCACAGAAUCUUGCCCAACUUGUGUGCCCUUGAAUCAAAAUAUUAGGUCAUCUUUGCGUGAGGUGUGCCGACGUCUACCUAUACAAUCAAAAAUAUAAUUUGUUCGUCAUGCUACGAAUAAGAGAGUUUCCAAUUUUUUAAACAUCAAAUCGAAGUAUAUUUUUUCUACUACGAUUUGUAUGGAACCUUAUUAUUUCCGUGUUAAUCAAAUGAGGAUAAACAAACAUUACCCAAUUUUAUGUCACAUAUAUUUCUAAAAAUAUUAUAUUUUUGACUUGAAGGAAACUUUCCUAUUGUGAUUAGUAAAACCUAUAUAAAAGACCAAUUUAAGUAAUAAGGAAUUAAAACGAUCAAUCAUACUGUUUUCCUAUAAACUACAAUUGUUUCAUUUGUGUAGUAGUUUUCCAAUAUAAGAUAGGAAUUGUUGAGAGAUAUUAGAAGUCUAUUUUAUACAUACUUAGCACUUCUUUUUCGUAAUUGUUGUAAUAAGAAAAGUAGGUUAUUGUCUAAAACGUUAUGUUUAAAAAUUUGUAAUAAUUCAUGUCUUGUAGUAGAAUUUCCGUACUGACUAACGAAACUAUUGCAAUGUGAUAUAACUUCAUGAGACUUCUAUUAUUGUAUCCUAUUUAACUUAAACAUAUCUAUUUGUGUGCGUUUUGUAUUUAACUUGAUAUUGUCCUAAUAAUGAUAUACCUACUUAUUAAAAAAUGUUCAUACAA